GAUCUUACCUAUGAUAAGAUACAUGUUUACUUGAAUGGUUGUUGUCUAUAUAGGAAGGAGCUUGAACAUGCAGAAUUAUGUCUAAAAUGUGGUUGUUAUAAAUAAAAAGUUAACCAAUGGACUAAGAAAUUUCAAAAAAAUAAAAGUAAAAUUCUAGCAAAAGUCUUGUAUUAUUUCCCUAUCAUACCAAGAUCUAAGAGGAUGUUCGGAAUAGAUGGAAUGCCAACACAACUUAAAUGACACUCAAAUAAUAAAAGUUUCUUUUUUGAUAUAAUGUUUAUUUAACAAUCCAUAUGGAAGAGAAGCUUGUCUAUGUGGAUCAGUUCAAUAUUGUUGGAUGUACCCAUUUGAGAGGUGGUAUUCCUUAACUUAUCAUAGUAGUUAAAUUCACUAUCAAAUUUAUUUUUAUUUUAUUAGAUUUUUGGAAAAUGUGUAGAUAUAUGAAAGUGUUGAAAGAAUACGUCAUGAAUCGUUCAUGACCUGAAGGAUGCAUAGCUGAAUGAUAUAUUGUUGAAAAAAAUGCAUUGUUUUGUAGCAAAUACAUUAAACAAGCAUUUGAAAUAGGCUCUAAGUUUGCGUGCAAUGAAGAAUAUGAAAGUGACUUCUUAGUUGCAGGGUGUACAAGUUCUAAAAGGAAGCCACUUGUACUAUUUGAUGAGAUGCUGAAAGUUGCCCCUUGCUAUGUGCUGCUAAAUAGUAUAGAAGUGGCUCUAUACGUAUAGUAUGUUCAUGACAUAUCUACUUUGUUAGGUUUUAAGUUCUUCGACCAUAUUAAUUUCUUGAUAUAUUGUUUUCCACUUAGGACGCAUAUGGAUGAACUCAAGAGUUUUGACAAAUGACUUCAAAGAAAUGAGAAUUUGUUGUAUAAGAAACAUAUUGACACUUUUGCUGCCUGGUUGGACGAUAAGAUUACAGGUCAAUUGUUUCUCGACAAUGUUGCAAAUACUUUAAAGUGGCUUGCACGUGGCCCUAGAUGCCAGUCUGUCAUAUUCUAGUUUUGUAAUAAAUGGUCUUCAAUUUUACACGAAAGAUGCAGAAAAGUCUUGCCAAAAUAGUGGUAUCUUAGUUGAAGCAACAACCAUUUGUAGAUCUAGUGCAAAAGAUAAUGCACAUGUUGUUGGGAAAGUUCUUUAACAUGGAGUUCUCUUGCCUUCUUC